ensembl:lncRNA
GAAUAUUAAGAGUAGCAGAAUACUUUUUCAGUUCUGUUUUAUACCUCUGUUGUUUUUACAAACCGUUCAUACUGUAAACGAGAGUCACAACUGUUUUUUAUAAGUUCACCAACUGUAUAACCGACAGGACUCACAAUCGUAGUCAAUAAAUCUGUGACGUGUGAACGGAUCCAUAUUAAGCGACAGUUGUCUACACGUCAUGCAAUGCGAGAGUAGCUCUUCGUUCCACAAAAUUGCGCGACUUUCAGUGUGACAUCUGGCAGGUGAUUUUGGAUCCCCUCGCUGUGUUCGCUGUGCUAGAGAUCCACUCGCCAGGCCUGCCGUGGUCUUUGCGUGACCCAAAUGCUGCGCUCUACACUCAGAUACAAACCCUUUCUAAACCAGUCCUAAACUGACCUUCAUUAUACAUAUGAAGCAGUUUAGAGAUUCUCUGACGUUCCUGGAAAUGAUGUCAGUGACCCCAGCAGCUUUUAAAUGGUGAAACUUCCCCUCCCGCUUUCUCUCAGCCA